AGGAGUCGCUAGAGCGCUAUGAGCCAAGUAAAGACCCCCGGCCAAACAUCCCCUAACCCGGAUGACGCUGGGCCAAUUGUGUGCCGCCCUAUGGGACUCCAGGUCACGGCCGGUUGUGACACAGCCUGGGAUCGAACCGGGUCUGUAGUGAUGCAUCAAGUACUGCGAUGCAGUGACUUCGUCUGCUGCGCCACGUUCCUCAGGUGCUGCGAAGCAGCAGUGAAUUCAUUGAGAAGCAUGGGGUUGUAGAUAGAAUCUACAGGCUAUCUGGGAUGUCAUCCAACACACAGAAACUAAGAACGAUCAUCUUGGCGUCCCAUGAGAGAACUGUCAAAAGUUGGGACACAAACAUCAAGAAACAGGUGCAUGAAAUUCUAACUCCUCAAUUUCCACACACUCAAAUCAUUUUUAUCUGGCAGCAGUGAUGCUUUGUUGUGAGAUAGGAAGCCAAUUCUAGAUUUAAUUUUGGAUUGGAGAUUAAUGUGAGUCUGGAAG